GGGAAGCAGACGGGGAGUCGGUGGCGGCCGCCGAGUCCGCAUGCGCAGGCUGCAAAGGCCCUUUUGGGCCGGUCCCGCCGCGCUAGGUUGGCGAGUGGGACUAUUUGAUCCUUUCCAGGUUCGCCAGCGUGGUGUUACGAGAGGAAAGCGCAGCCGCAGCGUACGAAUGGGAAGGCCAAACACGGUCCCGGGGAGUCUGAGGGAAGCUGCAGGGCGCCUGGAAUUGGGGUCUCGAGUGAGCCGGUAAAAACCGCCUCCCGCUGAGCGUCCCGGAACAAAUACUGUCUGAACUGAGCCCUUUCUGCCAUGUGAGGACGCUACCAGAAGGCCCUCAUCAGAAACUCAAACCUGCAAGAGCCUUGAUCUUGGACUUCCCAGCCCCCAGAAGUAUGAGAAAAUAAAUUUCCAUUUUUAUAAAUUA
rnacentral:lncRNA from 1 species